rnacentral:rRNA from 1 species
AUUGAACGCUGGCGGCAUGCCUUACACAUGCAAGUCGAACGGCAGCACGGGUGCUUGCACCUGGUGGCGAGUGGCGAACGGGUGAGUAAUACAUCGGAACGUACCUUAUCGUGGGGGAUAACGCAGCGAAAGCUGUGCUAAUACCGCAUACGCCCUGAGGGGGAAAGCGGGGGAUCGAAAGACCUCGCGCGAUUAGAGCGGCCGAUGCCUGAUUAGCUUGUUGGUGGGGUAAAGCCACCAAGGCGACGAUCAGUAGCUGGUCUGAGAGGACGAUCAGCCACACUGGGACUGAGACACGGCCCAGACUCCUACGGGAGGCAGCAGUGGGGAAUUUUGGGACAAUGGGGGCAACCCUGAUCCAGCAAUGCCGCGUGAGUGAAGAAGGCCUC